rnacentral:rRNA from 1 species
GACGAACGCUGGCGGCGUGCCUAAUACAUGCAAGUAGAACGCAGUUGCGAACGGGUGCGUACCGCGUAGGUAACUUCCUUAUAGCGGGGGUCAACUAUUGGAAACGCUAGCUAAUACCUCAUACUGUGAGAUGGACCUGCGUGGUAUUAGCUAGUUGGUGAGGUAAAGGGUCACCAAGGCGACGAUACAUAGCCGACCUGAGAGGGGGGUUGGGCAAACUGGGACUGUGACCCGGGCCAGACUCCUACGGGGGGGAGCAAUAGGGAAAUUUCGGCAAUGGACGGAAAUCUGAACGGGCAACGCCGCGUGAGUGAAGGAGGUUUUCGGAUCGUAAAGCUCUGUUGUUAAAGAAGCGGUAUCUAACCAGAAAGGGACGGCUAACUACGUGCCAGCAGCCGCGGUAAUUC